rnacentral:rRNA from 1 species
UACAGAGGGUGCGAGCGUUGUUCGGAAUUAUUGGGCGUAAAGGGCGCGUAGGCGGUGCGGUAAGUCACCUGUGAAAUCUCCUGGCUCAACUGGGAGCUUGCAGGCGAAACUGCCGUGCUGGAGUGUGGGAGAGGUGCGUGGAAUUCCCGGUGUAGCGGUGAAAUGCGUAGAUAUCUGGAGGAACACCGGUGGCGAAGGCGGCAUUCUGGACCAUAACUGACACUGAGAGACGAAAGCCAGGGGAGCAAACGGGG